GCCAGGUGAGGUGGCACAUGCCUGUAAUCCCAGUGUCUUGGGAGGCUGAGGCAGGAGAUUGCGAGUUCAAAGCCUGCCUCAGCAAUGGUGAGAUCCUGUCUCUA
rnacentral:sRNA from 1 species